rnacentral:rRNA from 1 species
GUCCUGGCAGUAAACGGUGCACGUUUGGUGUGGGAGGAUUCGACCCCUUCCGCGCCGGAGCUAACGCGUUAAACGUGCCGCCUGGGGAGUACGGUCGCAAGAUUAAAACUCAAAGAAAUUGACGGGGGCCCGCACAAGCGGUGGAGUAUGUGGCUUAAUUCGAUGCAACGCGAAGAACCUUACCAGGCCUUGACAUGCAUUUCUAAGUUGGUGAAAGCCAGCGAGUCCCGAAAGGGACAACUUGCACAGGUGCUGCAUGGCUGUCGU